rnacentral:lncRNA from 1 species
GCUCUUAUUUAUGAUAAUAUUGCACAUGGCAUCCUAAGCUUGAUCCAAUUAAAGCACCAUAUAGCAGUAUAGUAUCAGUAGGGCAUACCAGUACAGGGCAUGGUGCCUCGUCUCCCAUUUAAGUUAUAGGAGCACCUGUCAGAAGAAGAAAGAGGGGAGCUGCAUGGUUAACAUGUCUGGGCAAUGUUUGGAGCUCAUGAAAGGACUAACCAACCUCCCAGGCGACAAACCCACCUGAAGCUUAGAGAUAAAAUGGGGUCCAUUUUUGGAAAUAGAUUUUGAUUUUAGAAAACAGUUUGGACUUGUUGCUUUGAUUGUAGGGUUCCACUCGUUUAAGUCUUGAUAGAACCUCAAUCUUGUCAAAACCCAAUCU